rnacentral:rRNA from 1 species
GUAAGGAAUAUUGGUCAAUGGGCGCAAGCCUGAACCAGCCAUGCCGCGUGCAGGAAGACGGCCCUAUGGGUUGUAAACUGCUUUUAUCAGGGAAUAAACCCCCGCUCGUGAGCGGGGCUGAAGGUACCUGAAGAAUAAGCAUCGGCUAACUCCGUGCCAGCAGCCGCGGUAAUACGGAGGAUGCAAGCGUUAUCCGGAUUCAUUGGGUUUAAAGGGUGCGCAGGCGGAUUGGUAAGUCAGGGGUGAAAUCCCACAGCUCAACUGUGGAACUGCCUUUGAUACUGUCAGUCUAGAGUAUAGUUGAAGUUGGCGGAAUGUGUCAUGUAGCGGUGAAAUGCUUAGAUAUGACACAGAACACCGAUCGCGAAGGCAGCUAGCUAAGCUAUAACUGACGCUCAUGCACGAAAGCGUGGGGAUCAAACAGGAUUAGAUACCCCUGUAGUCC